rnacentral:rRNA from 1 species
GCCUUGGCGGCCUUGACUAAUACAUGCAGUCGAGCGGAUGGAUUAAGAGCUUGCUCUUAUGAAGUUAGCGGCGGACGGGUGAGUAACACGUGGGUAACCUGCCCAUAAGACUGGGAUAACUCCGGGAAACCGGGGCUAAUACCGGAUAACAUUUUGAACCGCAUGGUUCGAAAUUGAAAGGCGGCUUCGGCUGUCACUUAUGGAUGGACCCGCGUCGCAUUAGCUAGUUGGUGAGGUAACGGCUCACCAAGGCAACGAUGCGUAGCCGACCUGAGAGGGUGAUCGGCCACACUGGGACUGAGACACGGCCCAGACUCCUACCGGAGGCAGCAGUAGGGAAUCUUCCGCAAUGGACGAAAGUCUGACGGAGCAACGCCCGUGAGUGAUGAAGGCUUUCGGGUCGUAAAACUCUGUUGUUAGGGAAGAACAAGUGCUAGUUGAAUAAGCUGGCACCUUGACGGUACCUAACCAGAAUGCCACGGCAAACUACGUGCCAGCAGCCGCGGUAAUACGUAUGUUGCAAGCGUUAUCCGGAAUUAUUGGGCGUAAAGCGCGCGCAGGUGGUUUCUUAAGUCUGAUGUGAAAGCCCACGGCUCACCCGUGGAGGGUCAUAGGAAACUGGGAGACUUGAGUGCAGAAGAGGACAGUGGAAUUCCAUGUGUAGCGGGAAAUGCGUAGAGAUAUGGAGGAACACCAGUGGCGAAGGCGACCUUCUUGUCUGUAACUGACACUGAGGCGCGAAAGCAUGGGGAGCAACAGGAUUAGAUACCCUGGUAGUCCACGCCGUAUACGAUGAGUGCUAAGUGUUAGAGUGUUUCCUCCCUCUAGUGCUGAAGCGCGCAUAAGCACUCCGCCGGGGGAGUACUGCCGCAUCGCUGAAACUCAAAGAAUUGACGGGCGCCGCACAAGCGUGGAGCACGUGAUUAAUUCGCAGCAACGCGAAACCUGACACGUCUGACAUCUCUGAUGACUCUAGUAGAUAGGGCUCCUCUUCGGGAGCAUAGUGACAGUGGUGCAUGUUGUCGUCAGCUCGAGUCGUGAGACUGGAGUCAGUCACGAAUCAGGGCAACCUUCAUCUACUUUCAUCAUAAGUUAGGACUCUUAACGUGACUCCCGUACAACUAAGAAGGUUGGGAUGACGUGAUAACCAUACCUUUAAGUAGGGGCGACAGUGC